rnacentral:lncRNA from 1 species
GGGGGAAGGUGAGGGAGAGAAAGAGAUGGAGAUCUUCCACCUACCAGUUGGCUCCCCAAAUGCCUGCAACAGGAAAGGCUGGGUGCAGCAUGCGGGUGGCAGGGGCCCAAGCGCUCCCACCAUCUCCUGCUGCCUUUCCAGGUGCGUUAGCAGGGAGCUGGAUCAGAAGCAGAGCAGCCAGGACACAAGUGACGCCCCCAUUUGGGAUUCUUGCUGGCAGUGGCUUAAUUGGCUGUGCCACAACACCUCUCUAGGUUCUCUGCUUUUACAGGGAGGAAGCUGCUACCUGGCAGGUGAGUGUGGCAGUGUCUGCCCAAGUAAAGCAGACCGAGACACGUCAGCAAGACACUUGCAUUGAUCUAUGCAUCCACGGAUUGUUUAACAAUAGCUGCUCACCGGUGAGUUUGAUUUCUUUUCUUCUUUUUGCAGAAAAUAUAACUCCGUUGCCCUCCCCUACCCCCAUAUUCCCUCUUUGGUAUCACCAACUUAACUUUUCCAGGCCAUCUUUCUAGUUUUUUUCUUUCGUUCUCCCGGGUUUAUGUUUAAGUCUGUACUUAGCUCCUCUGGAGAUUAGAACAUAGGUGUUAAUUACAGCUUUCCCAUUGCUGCUUUUCCAUUAGGUGCUAAAUAUCCCCAAGUGAUUGAGUGUCUGCACUUAAGCCGGCUCACCUGUGCCAGGCCCUGCGCUCGCCAGGAACUCCGUGCGAGUGACCGUGCCUGCCCCCGGAUCUUCCGAUCUCGCCCAUCCAGAACCGUUCCCAUGGGGGUGGAUGUUUUUCCAAACUGGCUGCUUCAAGAGACUUCUCGUUGGUCCCAAACCAAAGGACAAGUCAGGGAGGGAAACACGGGCCGGCUGGCAAAGCGCCCCUGGCGCAGGCGCUCUGCGGGAGGAGCAGGGCGCGGGGGAGGGGAGCGGGAAGAACGGAGAGCGUGGCCUGGCCUGGGACCACCUGCGCCCGGUCAGGAGCCUCCGUGUAAAGCAGAGAGGCUUGCAAAGCCAGCUUGUGGGAUUCAAGGACAAGAAGGGAGGGCAGUGUGGCCGCAGAACCGGAGCCAGGGCCAAGGAAGUGCAGCCAAGAGUGCAAUGUGCUCCAGUCCCCCGCGGCAAGGAUUCCAGUGUCUCCCAUUCAACAGGAGCCAAAGUCUACAGGAAAUCGGACGUGGGGUCCAAGUUCUUGGAGCAGGGAUCGCAAGCACUUCACCCUCACGAAGAAAAAUGACCGCCACAGAGGGAGCUGCUCCAGAAUGA